AACUAAUUUCCCACCCAUUCCAUUAUUCCCCACACAACACAUGCAAUGCAACCCUCACAUUUCAAAUCUUCUCUCUAUUCACAACAACAAGAUCUCAACACAUCAACAACAUAAACUUGAACAAGAAGAUUAAGUUUUACUCUUCUCUGUUCUUUUCCUCUCUUCUCUUUCUCUCUCUCUUCUUUCCAUGAAAGAAAACAACAACCUUUUCAUAAUGUCUCACCAAUCCUCUGCUGAAUCUGAUGACAAGAUUCCUUCUCAUCCAUCUAAAGAUGCCAACUUUGAGAAAAAACAAGAUGACCCUUUUCUCUUAAGCACCCAAGAGAGCCAAAACCAUGAUGAUAAAGAUAUAGAUGCAACACAAAACUCAUCUCUUUGCAAGAAGCAGAAAAUGGAUGAUGCUGAGGCAGAAGAGUUAACAACUGUGGAUGAGGAAUUGGAGGAGGUGAGUGAAAGAGAGAGGCUGAAGAGACAUAGAGUUGAAGUAGCUGGAAGGGUUUGGAUACCAGAAAUAUGGGGUCAAGAGGAAUUGUUGAAGGAUUGGAUAGAUUGCACUGCAUUUGAUGCUCCUUUGAUUCCAAGCAAGAUCACUAUGGCACGUGCUGCUUUGGUUCAACAGGGUGCUGCUAGAGCCAAUGCUGCUCCUCUAAGUAUAGAUAACAGGGACUUGGAAUUCAAUGUACAUAAAGAUUUAUCUCUUAAUAACAACUGCACAAAUGUUGAUGUUCAAAAUACUCAAGUUUUCAGACAAUCAAGCACAGAGAAGAGCGCCUAAACAAAAAAAAUCUGAUUCAAGUUCACAAAUUUAUGAAGGGAGAGGAUCAUGUUAAGAAAAACAUUGGAAACAAGCUGAUCAAGUUCACCAGUAACCACAUGCCAAUCUCUUCAAAAUAAAACACAGUUCAAAGAAAAAAUUUGAAGUAGAUAAAUGAAGUUGCAAAUACAGUUAACAGCAUAGCUGAUAGGUACAAAUUACAAAGAAACCAAAAAAUUCCAGGUUUAUCCCUAAGCACGAAUAGCUAAUAGAAUCAUUGUGGCCCAUGACUUAAAUGAAUGAUUCUGCACCAGGAAAAAGAACUUGUAAUGAGCAUAUAAUCUGAUGCUUCUCUUUUCUGUGAACUUUUCAUACAUUUCAGACUAAAACAUACGAUGAUAGUAUGCAAAAACUCAGUAUGCUCCCAGUGGCAUCCCAUGUGAGUGAAAACGACAUGUCUUACUAAAAUGAUGACAACUAUUAAGCCCACCAGCAUUUGAAAGGAAUGUGACCUAGUGUGAAUGACUAACAACUUAUUCUACAUUAUAAGCUAUAAUUUCUUUUUAUAUUCAUUUCUAGGAAUAUAAAAUUCACAAAUGGCUUGAUUUAUGAGUACUUAAAAUCUCAAUAUUUCAAACAACUAAUAAAGCAUGAUGCCUACAUUGGAUGGUAGUGGAGUUCAGAGCAGUUACCUUCUUUUUCUUUUUUGAGGGGGUGGGGUGAGUUGUCUUUACCUAGAUACUCUAGUGAGGUUUUAUUGCUUAGGUAAUGUACAUAAUACCCACUAACGGUCUCACCACUUCAGGUUUUGUAUAUUUCAAAUAUUUUAAAAUUUAUAAAAAAAAUUGCAUCACUUCAGGUUUUGUAAUUUUUCAAUGAUUUAAAAUGUUUAAUCACCAUUAAAUACACAACUAUGCUGUUCAUUGCGUAUCGCUAUAACCAAUAUAUCAACCAAUAUAUCAAAGCUCGCUAAUAUACUGCAAAUAGAGAAGUUGAGAUGUCGUAUCCACUACCCAUAUUCCGAUACAUAUUGGCAGUAUAUUGGCCCUAUUCCAGAUUUUAACAACACUGCACAGAAUACCUGAAAAGCUA